rnacentral:rRNA from 1 species
UGGUGGAGUGAUUUGUCUGGUUAAUUCCGUUAGCGAACGAGACCUCAGCCUGCUAACUAGUGACGCAUAUCUUUGAUAUGUGGCCCACUUCUUAGAGGGACUAUUUGUGUUUAAUGAAUGGAAGUUUGAGGCAAUAACA